UACGGAGGGGCUAGCGUUGUUCGGAAUUACUGGGCGUAAAGCGCACGUAGGCGGCUUUGUAAGUUAGAGGUGAAAGCCCGGAGCUCAACUCCGGAAUUGCCUUUAAGACUGCAUCGCUUGAAUCAUGGAGAGGUGAGUGGAAUUCCGAGUGUAGAGGUGAAAUUCGUAGAUAUUCGGAAGAACACCAGUGGCGAAGGCGGCUCACUGGAGCCGGCAUUGGACGCUGGAGGUGCGAAAAGC
rnacentral:rRNA from 1 species